rnacentral:rRNA from 1 species
UACGGAGGGGGCUAGCGUUGUCCGGAAUUACUGGGCGUAAAGAGCUCGUAGGUGGUUUGUCGCGUUGUUCGUGAAAACUCACAGCUUAACUGUGGGCGUGCGGGCGAUACGGGCAGACUGGAGUACUGCAGGGGAGACUGGAAUUCCUGGUGUAGCGGUGGAAUGCGCAGAUAUCAGGAGGAACACCGGUGGCGAAGGCGGGUCUCUGGGCAGUAACUGACGCUGGAGGAAGCGGAAAGCGUGGGGAGCAAACGGG